GCCCUCGUGGCGGAAUUGGUAGACGCACUAGACUUAGGAUCUAGCGCCUUUGGCGUGUCAGUUCGAGUCUGACCGAGGGCA